rnacentral:rRNA from 1 species
CCCUUAGAUGUUCUGGGCAGCACGCGCGCUACAAUGGUCUUCGCAAACGGAUGCAUUCUCGAAGGAGAAUGCCAAUCUUGGAAUCUAUGCCUUGGUCGGGACAGUUGCUUGCAAUUUUUCGACUCGAACCAGGAAUUCCUUGUAAUCGUGAUUCAUCACAUCACGAUGAAUACGUCCCUGCCCUUUGUACACACCGCCCGUCGCUCCUACCGAACGAAGAGUUAGGUGAAUUGUUUUGAUCGAUAAGAUUUGACUAUGGUCAACUCUCGUUGUGAAAUUCUGUGAAUCUGACUGUUUAGAGGAAGGAAAAGUCGUAACA